GUCACGCCGUAAACGAUGGGUGCUAGGUGUCGCGGGCUUUGACCCCUGCGGUGCCGUAGCUAACGCAUUAAGCACCCCGCCUGGGGAGCACGGCCGCAAGGCUAAAACUCAAAGGAAUUGACGGGGGCCCGCACAAGCGGUGGAGCAUGUGGUUCAAUUCGACGCAACGCGCAGAACCUUACCUGGGCUAGAAAAUGCAGGAACCUGGUUGAAAGAUCGGGGUGCCCUUCGGGGAGCCUGUAGUUAGGUGCUGCAUGGCUGUCGU
rnacentral:rRNA from 1 species